UAAUAUAUCUGAGAUAUAUUUUUAUUUAGAUAUGAUAGAUCCAUACCUAACCACUUAUAAUCACGCGUCGUCACGGCUUAGGUUAUAUCAAAGAAAUUUCUUUCAAGAAAGAAAAUGAAACUUUCUUUUUAGC
rfam:Populus trichocarpa isolate Nisqually-1 chromosome 14, whole genome shotgun sequence.